AUGGUGUUCAUUGACUUGGAGAAGGCCUAUGAUAAGAUACCGCAGAAUGUCAUGUGGUGGGCCUUGGAGAAACACAAAGUCCCAGCAAAGUACAUUACCCUCAUCAAGGACAUGUACAAUAAUGUUGUGACAAGUGUUCGAACAAGUGACGUCGACACCGAUGACUUCCCGAUUAAGAUAGGACUGCAUCAGGGGUCAGCUUUGAGCCCUUAUCUUUUUGCAUUGGUGAUGGAUGAGGUCACAAGGGGUAUACAAGGAGAUAUCCCAUGGUGUAUGCUCUUUGCGGAUGAUGUGGUGCUAGUUGAUGAUAGUCGGACGGGGGUAAAUAGGAAGUUAGAGUUAUGGAGACAAACCUUGGAAUCGAAAUGGUUUAGGCUUAGUAGAACUAAAACCGAGUACAUGAUGUGCGGUUUCAGUACUACUAGGUGUGAGGAGGAGAGGUUAGCCUUGAUGGCCAGGUGGUACCUCGGAAGGACACCUUUCGGUAUUUGGGGUCAAUGUUGCAGGAGGAUGGGGGUAUUGAUGAAGAUGUGA
rnacentral:rRNA from 1 species